rnacentral:sRNA from 1 species
AUUAAGGAGGAAAAGGAGGAGGAGGAGGAGAAAGAGUGCUUUGCCCAGGGUGUGACUGAAGAAAUAUCAAAUGUUUCCUAGUAAGACAGCAACUCAGCGACCAGCAGACUAAUGGGGAUGAGGUUCUGGUACAAGAUGAUGAACACCAGUAUGUCAAACAAUGACUUGGGAGCUGGAAUCAGGGACAUGACCAAGAGCAGCAGGAACAAAAGGGAGACUGGCACAUUGAUCAUUUUCUCAACCUUUGAUCUCUUGAGAGAGAAAGAGUUUUGAAGAAAACUGGGCAUAGGCUCAGAAAAACCAAACAGAAGAGGAACAGAAAAAGAAACAAAAAGCAGAACAGUCAGAAUAAAAUCAUGGAGGAAAACUCAUUAGAAUUCUUAAGUGAUCUUACACCAGGAGAUCAGGACCCAUCUCAGAGUGAAGAGGAAGACAUUGAAAAGACCAGAAGAGAAUCAGAAUAUCCCUUCAUUGGUGGUCUACAAAAUCAAGUCGGAGAUUUUGUGACUGGGUAUAAAGAAAAAAGAUGGAAAAAUAAAGAUCCUAAAGACAGUUUCCAAAACGUUAUGUCUAUAGUUGAAUUGGACAACACACCAAAGAAUUACCUCUCUAAGGAAGUUGAUAACUUGUUUGUAAGUUUGUUACUGAGGCCAGAUGAAAUCUCCGUUACUUGUCCAAUACUGACUCAAAACCUUUCCUAUGUAACAACUGAUGACUGCUCUGGCAUGAAGGUAGAAAAGCAUAUUAGAGAUAGGCGUACCAUAGCAUUAGACACCCAGGACCUUUCUGCGGAAACUUCAUGCUUAUUUAUGAAGAAGAGAGAAAUAGUAAAUAAAAGUCUCCCACAUGAACCCAUUCUGUGCCAUCAACAUGGAAUCAGAAUGUCAGAUAAAGUUUUAAGAGAGGAACAAGUGUAUGCAACUAAAAUCAAUCAUUGGGCUUUUUUCACAACCAAUUUAUCUGAUGAAGAUUUACACCUGGGCUCUGACAGACAGCCCUAUUUUGGUAGCUGGCCUGCAGGACCUCAUAAGUUUAUAUGUGAACAGAGACCAAAAAAAGAUAGAGCACGUAAGUUGGCUGGUCCUGACAGCAGGGGGCAAUGGAUUCAAUUGAUCUUCACUUUGGUGGCAGCAUCAGAACCAGGAAACAAUCCAGAAAUAUUGACAGACAAACUACUGAUAGGAAAUGAAGAUUUUUCACCUCCACCUGAAACUAUGGAUUCAUUCAUUGAAACAAACCUCUUCAGAAGCUGCUUACCUCAACCAGAUAUAUCAGAGAAUGCCUUAGAAUCAACACAAAAUAAGAAAAGGAGGAAGAAAAGGAUCUUCAAUUUGGUACCAAAUUUUAACUUAUUAGGACAGAGUCAUAUCGGUGUAAAAGAAAGGGAGAAAUGCGACCUGUUAACAAAAAAACAUGGACUAAAAAUUACUUUGGGAGAAGAAAAAGAUAGAAUUUCAGAAAGGAACAGUGAAGAGGAGAAUAAGCAAAAACUUAUGACCUUUGAUCAUCAUCCAUUGUGGUUUUACCUUGAUAUUAUCAAAGCUACCCCUUUAAAUAUUGGUGGACAGUGUUAUUCUCAUUGUCUGUCAUUUAACAGACUAAGGUGCUCUGCAUCUUUAUACAAAAAUUAUAUUCCUUCUUUUGUGCUACAUAAUAUAUCUAGUAUUUGGAAGCCAUCUUUUACAAAGAAGAAACUGUUUUUGACUUUCGAAUCUCAGACAAGAGUAGGUAAUAAACUAAAUGAUGCAGGGUUUAUUUCUCCAGAAAUUUUACAUAGUCAUCUUGAUACUUCGUGCUCUUUGGGAGUCACUUCUGAUUUUCACUUUUUAAAUGAAAGGUUUGAUGGAAAGCUGAAAAGAUGGGAAGAACCUAAGCAAUUAUCAGCUGAGGACAGCCAAGACUUAACAAGCACUGACUAUAGUUCCCUUGAGCUACCAUUAUCACAAGGGUUUGCCUUUCAAUUAGUAAAGCUUUUUGGAUCUCCAGGCGUUCCAAUGGAAUCCUUGUUGCCUGAUGACUAUGUGGUUCCCCUUGACUGGAAGACACUAAAGAUGAUCUACUUGCAGUGGAAGAUGUCAGUGGAGAAAAGACAGAAGAAGAUUGGUUGAAAAAUGAAAAUUCCUUGAACUUUGAGUUCUGCUGUCUUCAUGGUACUGCUGAAGAUGAUGAUCACGGAGAAAAGUCAGAGUGCUCAGUGCCAACCCAAGGGAUUCUUUCCAGAGACAUACCCAUUGGAUACCAAAAUUAGUUUGGAUAAUCUGUUCAACCAUUCUUGAUAAGUUAUCUGAAUAAUAAAAAAACUCAACAGAGGAGGU